GCUGCCAUGAGAGGGGAGAGAGAAGAAAGAGUAAUAUUCACCUCUACCUUUCGGAAGCCAUAACUUUUGAUCCGGAGCUCCGAUUGACGAGCCGUUUACAGCCACGCGAAGCUCUUGUCGAGCUCUAUAUUUCUAUUCAAAGAAAUUUGGUGAUCUCUAGUAGCUGGUAAUUAUUGGAUUUUAUCCCUAAUCUCAUUGGAUAAGGUAGGCGGUGGCGAUGGGAUCGCACAGAGGUUAAGUUGGCGAAGGCUGUGGGAUACAGCGAUGCAGGUCGUAAUCUACUCCGAUGAGAUUGCGGAUAUGGUGACAGAGUGGAGUAUGGUUCGUUCCUUGUUUAUUUCUGUUUUACUUUCGUCAUAGUGUUCUCUCAC